UAAUCAGACUGUUACAGAAACC
rnacentral:miRNA from 1 species